AGGUGGUGCGCGUCUCAAAGGACUGUGAGCCAACGUAAUUACUGUAUCACAGCCCUGCUUGGGACACAGCCUACCUG
rnacentral:precursor_RNA from 1 species